ACGCGCCCGCCCUGGGCCCGGGAGCGUGGCUGGCGGCGGCCGACCUGUUGCCCCGCGGGGGACCCGAGAGAAGAGAUUCCGCCGCCCGCGCGGGACCGACACCAGGAACUGGUGUUUAUAGGCGGUGACUCGCCCCUUCUCAGAGUUGUCCAGAGCCUAACGUCUGCCCAAGGGGCGUCUCUGCUCCCACAGCUGCCUGGGGAGCAGCUGAGUGAAGGGCCUGGUGGAGGAGGAAAGGAAGGAUCUUCCAGGCAGAGGCCCCCAGGGCUGGGGGAGCCCAGCAUGCACUUCUGGUUUGGGGAAGGACGUCUCACCUGGGCACCGAGGUCUCCUGGCAGCGCUGCGAGGGAGCUCUGUUCGCCCACCUGAUGAGGGCUCGGCCCCCCAACCCCCAGGAUCACACGGGACACUCUCUAGAUGGACUCGGAUUGGUCCUGCAGCCCUGGGUGUGCUGCUGACUGGAGGAGCAGGAUGGCCAGGAGACACCCUGGCCCUCAGCACGCAUCCCAGCCCCACGGCUGCUCUGGCACCGGGUACUCGUGGCUCUCGUCCUCGGAGUUGCUGGGACUGAAAAUCAGGGGCCUGGUCAGCCCCAGGGACGGAGCGGCCCAGUCUGCUACCAUCUGCCCUCCUGGAGCCAGGUCCCGGGUGAAGAGCUGCCCGCCCCACCCCAGGGACUGCGGCCUGACUGGGCACCCCUGCAGUUUCACCCCAACAGGACCUGAUGGCAUUCUUUACUGGUGCCACGUCUCCUGGGAGCCUCCCGUCCUGGUGGCCCUCGCCCACCCCAGCCCUCUCCACCAGGACCCCUCUGGGAGCCUGCCAGCCCCCUGCCUCUACCCAAAGAUCUCUGGGGCGGCCUGAGAGCUCGUGACCCCAGACUGCAGGGAGAGAGGGGUGAAAGGCCUCCUUGGGGCUGAUGCACAGAUGCGCCCCUUCCAAGCCCAGCUCUCACCUUCCGGGUGACUCUUGAUCCCCAGCUCCAGCAUGUGUGUGUGUGGGGUGGGGGGGGGCGAGCACGUGUGGUGCAGAGGGGAGGAAGCUGUAGACAGUGUGAGCUGCCCUGGGUUCUAGCCCUCCCUGGGCAAGGGGCUCAGCUGUUGCUGGAAGGGGCCUAGGAGACUUUCCCAACGGGGAGAAAUGGGUGUGAGAGCCUCUGGGAUCCCAGGCCUGGGAGACCUCUUCCCCCGCAGAGCAGCCCCACCCCCUGCCGAGGGGACUGGAAGCCCCAGUGCUGUGGCUGCGGCUGUCUUGCCUUCAGGGGAUGGCUCGGGGAGGGGCCGGGGCCUGGUCCUUUGCAAGUGUUCCUGCCACUGCUUUUCUUACCAUUUUGGCCUUGAGUAGUUGACUUGCUUCAGCUUCCCCACCUGUCCCUUCUCUUCCCUGGGGGCCCCUGCAGCUGGGUGGCUCCCCGUGCACUUUGUUGUUUGCAGUCUGUUUUCCAGGCACCGGAGCUUCUGCAAAAUCAGACAGGGACCUGAAAUGGCUUUGAGGUCUCUGUGAGAUUAACUCUGUGCUCGUCUGCACAGCCGGGGCAGACAAAUGUUCUCGUUUCUGGUGGUGGUAAAUCUUGUGACCUCUCUAAUUUAAGAAAAAAAGUCCCUGAGUUCAAUAAAAUAAAUAAAACAAAAACGGG